GACAGGAUAUGGUAGGGGCAUCCCACAGUCUCUGCCACAGCAAGCAGUAGACUCCUGUGCAUCCCAAGGUGCAACCUGUCUGUUUGUCCAAGCUCUGUGACCGCUUCAGCCCAAACAGCCAGACAGGCUCUGUGUUCCCAACACACGGUAGAUCCUUAAUCAUUGUUUGCUGAGUGGACAAAUGGUCUGGCUGGCACCAUGGCAAGCUGAUUCGGCCAGCAGUUCAUGUUUCCUAUCCAGGCAGCUUCUUUCCUCAUACUCUUCAUCUCCCCAAAGCCAAUAGCCCCUUGCUAGGCUGCAGGUGGUCAGCGAUGGCGCCCGAAAAUGCCUGUUCUGGGAUUUGCGGAUUAGACACAGCCUCAGAAGUGACAAAAAGGUGAUUUCUCAUGGAAGCGUCCUUCCAGUACCCGUCAGAAGAGGAGACAUCCCACAAAGCACACUCAAGAACUGGCAAGUUGUCCAGACAAAUGGCCCGGACCCUGCUUUGGCUGUAUUUAAUAUUUCACACUCGAGAGGAUUCCUUCUUGUUUGACAGCAGUAUUUGGAUGUGGUUUUUAAGAGGUGGCUUCACCAUCUGGUUUACGAUGGCUGCUGCAGCUCCUGCCGUCACAUCUGCAUUUCAGCCCAUGGAAAGGGCAGAAAAACAAAGGGAAGAAUGCACCUUUUCUUUGGCGGGCUUGAACAGGAAAUUGCACAGCUCAUUUCUGCCCUCAUUUCGUUGGCCGGAAUCCAGUCAUGUGGCCAUGCCCAUGUGCAUGGGGAAAGAUGAAAACAUUUCAAAGGCUUCCAGCCACCACCAGCCACCUGAGAUAAGAGAGCCCACACUGGCCAGAGAGAUGGGGUCUUACUGUGUUGCCCAGACUGGCCUAAAAUUCCUGAGCUGGAUGAUCCUCCCAUCUUGGCCUCCCAAAGUGCUGGGAUUAUAGUUAUAAGCCAUGGCAUCUGGUUUCCUUUGGACCCAUUUUGGAUGGGUGGACUGUAUAGUACACACAGCACCUUUAAGAACUGAGAAAUUCCUGCAAAAAUCACAACUAAUUUCACAUUUCAAAUUUGCAAAACGUCAGUAAAUGAAAUUCUAACAACCUUUCUUCUUUCAUCUGAAACCUCCAAACUGCCCGGGGAUCAUCACAGUUUUGAGACCGCACAGGGGAAGCUCUGACCCCUUAACUCUUAGCAUUUUAGGUCAUGGAAGCUCAGAAGUUUCCUGGUGAAAAAUAUUAGAGCCGUAAAAUUAAAGGACAUCAAAUUUAACUGUUGGAUGCCCCUUGGAGUCCAUCGCAUCUAACCUUCCACCCAGGGCAAGACAAGAAAAAACAUGUGUGAGUGAAGCAACCGUUUGAUGUGACGGUCUGAGCAGCUGCGGCAGACAGCUUGUGAUUAACAAGGAACUGCAGAGAAAAUAUGGACAUCAGAUCACAGGGCUCAGGUGGUCACUGAGGCCAGGGACGGGGCCAGCCUCAAGGGUAUGUAACCUGCACAGUCGCUCAGGGCUUCCCACCUGGAAGGAUCCCAUGCUUGAUUUAAUGCUCUGCUAUUG